rnacentral:tRNA from 2 species
CGGGGCGUGGCGUAGUUUGGUAGCGCGUUUGGUUUGGGACCAAAAGGUCAGAGGUUCGAAUCCUCUCGCCCCGACCA